GGAGGGACUGGGGAGAGAGUGAGUCAGGCAGGGACAAGGCUUUCAUCAGUCAUCCCUGGUGGACCCUCCCAAGAAAACCCUAAGGGGUUCCGAGAGCCUCUUGUUGGGGAAGCGUCCACAGUUGGGAGGGUGAUGCAACCUGAACUCCAAGGAGACUGAAGCUCCUGGAUCCCACCUCUCGCACACCUGGCCUCUACUUCCUCACCUGCCUGUACAUCCCUUUAGGAUCCACAGCAUCACGAACAAGUACCCACCUGGAUAACGGAAGGCUCUGGGACCCAUUCAGGAUGUUAUUGAUGUUUUUGGAGAUGACGUCCAAGAGGAAGAGUUGGCGUUGCAUGGAGAGAUAAUGAGCUGUGUGGUGAUCAGCCCAGGCCUCAGAAGAAGUAGAUAAGGGGCAACCUCAGAGCCCUUCACCCACUGGACGCCACUGAAGUUUGUUAGGGACAGGAUCUCUGGAACAGGCACUACACCCCAUUGUGAUGUCCAGACGCCAGCUGGGUUUCCAGGGGCAACGGGGCUGCCCCAGUUCUGAGCCCAGGGGACCCCAGGAGGCAGAUGUGCUCUGGGGCGUGAGAUCCGUUAAGUCUGCCUCAGGAAAGCUGCAUCCUCCACACUGAAACCACACCGGCAUUAGGACGCUCCACUCAGCCUCUGGAAACACCCACCACUGCCUUCUCCUGGAAAGCACCUGCUCUAGUCCCUGGAGACUCGUAUUAGGGCAGAAUCCAACAGAAGAAUUCCGUGGUCAGCAGAGAAAGCCCCAUCUCAGCAUCCAUGGAGCAGGUGCAUCUGAGCACAAGCCUGGUGGACCAGACUACAAGCCUAAGACGAGGGCACAGGAAGCCUGGGUAUUGCCCACAAACACUCCAUCCAGUUCUUCCAUGGCCUGCCUUGAGGUCUACCAAGCAUUUAAAAGUCACCUUACCUGCCUGGAAAAAUGGCAAAGAUAACUGAUGGGUCAAGCUGAAGGGUGUUUCACCAUCAGCCAGUUUUCUCGAGGUUACACCUCUUGCACGUUUUUGAAAUUUUGAGUCGGAACAUCCAAAGUUGAGUUUGGAGGGAGGAAGGUAAGACUGGAAACCAGGCGCUGCCUCUUUCUGACGGUGACCCUGGAGGAUAUACAGAGAAACACAGGAUGUCACAGGCACCCUUGCAGCAAAUGAACUGCUUCUGGAGUGUUGAUACCAUCAAGGAUUUCCAGAGUUGCUCGAUGUAUUUAUUGUCCCAGGAGAACCACAGAGCCUGCAAUGGCAGGAUGGAGUAGACAAUUCUGCAUCUCUGAGCUUGCUUGCAACCUGUCUUCAAUCAAAUGGGGUGAGACAUCCAAUGAUAACAGGAUCCUUUAGUAGCCACUAAACUUGGCACCAACGUACAUACAUAUCCUGUUAAAAGGCUGCUUCUCUGAGCAAAAUCCUCGGGGCUGCAAGAACUCAGCCUCAGGACAGAAAGCCUGCUGGCCUUGAAAAGAAUUCUCCAAAGCAGCACCAGCUGCCCCAGCACUUGGCAGAUGGAGCCAGGAAUCGACCUCAGGGAAUCCAUGGGCUCCAUACAGAAGGCCCCAGAGUUCUCCUAUGGCAUAGUAGUUUGAUGAUCUGGCCUUGUCAUUGCCACUACUUGGGUGGCAGGUUCAAUCCCUGGCCUGGGAAUGUCCACAUCCUGCAGGUGAGGCCAAAACAGAAUUUUUUUUUUUUUUUUUUUUUUUACAAUCAAGAGGAACAGCAUUACAAUCAGAAAAACAGGAUUUGAGACCUAAUUCACACCAAUUUAUUGUGCACCUUCAAGAGACAACUCCUGUGUAACAUACCAUGAUAACAGGAAUUCCUCUCAUGCCCAAUUUCCUGGACUUUCCAGCAGAAAACACAAAGGGAGGUAAAAAGAGCCCAUCUUUUGCUAAGUACCUUUUCCUGCGAAUGCAGAUCCUACAAGAGGGAGCUGACAUGGCUUGGGUGGAAUUUCCUCGAUGCUCAAACAAGGAAUUGUCUUACUUGCAAUCAUUGCAACUAACACCCCUGAAACGAAAUGGCCCUUUUUUCCCCUCUGCCUUUUUCAUAAUUAAUGAAUAGUUCUGCCGUCUUAUCCACAACUUAGUUGCCAGCUUGGGAUGGCCGCCAAGGUGAAAAUCAUUCUGCUCUGCUCGGCUCAGCACUAAAUCGUCAAGGCAGAGGUUGAUGUCAAUUGAUACGGGACUGCCUGAAGGAACCAGAUUUGCCUUAGAAAUGUCUCCUGCUUGCUCCAUCCUUGGCUUUGGAAACCAUUCCAGGCUGAUGGUCAACAGACACACCGUUGGGACAUAAAUCCAUGAGUUGGAACGUGCGUGAUGCCCAGUCUCUAUGUGUUGUUUUAAUUAUUUUAUGGUUUUAUUAAGUUUUUUCAUCUUCGGGCUAAAAAAAGAAAAAACAACUACCCAAUCCCACUGCCAAAUUUCCCGGAUAUUUUAGGCACAGACACCGUGGACUCCACUGCUGCAAGGAAUGACAGUGGUCCUGACCCUUUCUGUUGGAAUUUAUGGCAGUGAGUAAACCUGUUCUUCCAGGAAAUGCAUGUUAAUUAUGUUAAAUGCCCUGCUUCAUGGAGAAUGUAGAGAGGUAGAGGGUGUUUAAUUCCUCUUGACAAAAGAUUCCUCUGCAGAAUGGAGCCACGCCUUUAGAACAAGGUCCACAUACAAUAGUCUUCUCACACUUAGCAAAGAUAAUCCUCCUUUAAAUAAAUGUCUUCAGGGCUUUAAGGCCCCCUGUAAGGGUGGGAAAGGUUUCUUCUAUUUUCUUUGUCUCUCGAUUUUUUAAGAAUGAAAUCGGAGGAAGAACAGCUGAAAGGUGAGGGGGAUGAAUCCCAUUGCAUCAAAGUGGAGAGACACAUUCUCAAAUUGAAUUCUGCACGUUGUUUUUCAUAUUUCCUUUUCUGGUGGAAAAGCUGCAACAUGCGCUAUUUUUUUUCUACAGUCUUAAAAGCCAAACUUUUUCGAAAUGAUGCCCAACCUGGAGUUUCAAAGUUGUGUGUUGGGGGAAGGGUGUGUUUUUUUGUUUUGUUUUGUUUUUUAAUCAUUCAAACGGGUUGAAGCCUUUCUUAAUGCCCAGACCAAAUCAAAACUGACUUAAUGGCCAGACCAAAUUGGUUGUUCAAUUUCGAGGUCUACCAAAACAAAUUGAGUGUGUGUUCCAUUCAGGUCACCGCAGACCUAUUAGGACAGGCAAUCCACUUCUUUAAAAAAAAACCCUUAAUUUCAGCUUUGUGUAGGCUCUGACUUACCCAGAAGCUGCAUCAACUGUCUUUGAUUUCAGGUGUUCUUAGACAAAUUCAAAUUUUCUGUCUUUCAUGGCAACGUUUCUUUGGGCUGUAUAUGGAUUUCUUUGCGGAUAAAUAUGAGAGUAUUUCAACUCACAGUUUUUAGCUAGAAGAUUCUUUGAGAUGGGAUCAUAAGAAAUCCUUUGUCCCCUCCUUCUUAUUGUCCAGAUGAAAAAAUAAUCCCAAGAGAAGUCACGCUUCCAAAUGGUUAUCAUCAGUUAUAUAUUUAUUGAUCUUCAUAGGAAAAUGUCCCACAAAAAUUCCCACAGCAAUGUGGCCGACCCCAGUCAGUUUUGCAAAUAUUAACAUGAAGCUGGGAGUUCCUGUCACAGCUCAGUGGUAAUGAACCUGACUAGUUUCCCCGAGGAUGCAGGUUCGAUCCCUGGCCUCACUCAGUGGGUUAAGGAUCCAGCAUCACCAUGAGCUUUGGUGUAGGUUGCAGACUCAGCUUGGAUCCCAUGUUUCCGUGGCUGUGGUGUAGGCUGGCAGCGGCAGCUCCAAUUUGACCCCUAGCCUGGGAACUUCCAUAUGCC
rnacentral:lncRNA from 1 species